GGAAAAGAAACUAACAAGGAUUCCCCUAGUAACGGCGAGUGAAGCGGGAAGAAGCUCCAAAUUUGAAAUUCCUGAUGGCCUCAGGCUAUCCGAGUUGUAAUCUAUAGAAACAUUUUCCGCGUUGGCCCAUGUACAAGUCUCUUGGAAUAGAGCGUCAUAGAGGGUGAGAAUCCCGUCCUUGACAUGGACUACCAGUGCUUUGUGAUAUGUUUUCAACGAGUCGAGUUGUUUGGGAAUGCAGCUCAAAAUGGGUGGUAAAUUCCAUCUAAAGCUAAAUAUUGGCGAGAGACCGAUAGCGAACAAGUACCGUGAGGGAAAGAUGAAAAGCACUUUGGAAAGAGAGUUAAACAGUAUGUGAAAUUGUUGAAAGGGAAACGAUUGAAGUCAGUCGUGUCUAUUGGACUCAGCCGGUUCUGCCGGUGUACUUCCUUUAGACGGGGUCAACAUCAGUUUUGAUCGCUGGAAAAGGGCAGGAGGAAUGUAGCACUCUCGGGUGAACUUAUAGCCUCUUGUCGUAUACAGUGGUUGGGACUGAGGGACGCAGCUUGCCUUUAUGGCCGGGAUUUAUCCACGUACAAGCUUAGGAUGUGGACAUAAUGGCUUUAAACGACCC
rnacentral:rRNA from 1 species